CCUAAUGGACAACAGCCAGUUCACCACAUACUCUCACCCUCUCUCGUUCUCUCUCUUUCGUCUGGAAAAUAAAGACCUUCAUGAAAACUUUAGCAUUGUUUCUGAUGCUGUGUUGUGCUCUGCAACUUAGCACCUCAACUGAAGCAAUAAAGAGUGCAAACAGUAUCUGUUGCUAUAAUGCUACCAAUAUCAAAAUACCUCUGGCACGGCUGGAGUCUUAUUUCUGGAUAAGUUGCCCCAUCAAACGCAUUGUAGCUGGUGUGACAAGACAAGCAACUCUCACCACAAUCUACCCUCCUUCACUCUCCCCUACCUACCUCAUCCCAGCAGUCCAGCCCACUGAUCCCCGGCCAGUCUCAUAAUAUCACCCCUCAAAUUCCAUGCCCAUCCCAGCAACCAGUUCUUCCAUCCUGCCAAAGGAAGAUGCACCACCCAAUCCUCCACCUAUCCACACACCUUAUCAUGGUUGUAGAGGACAAUUUUCAUUUACAUAAAACAGUUUUAAGUUCUCUAUCUCUCUAUAUUGGAUAUAAUUUCUUCACUCUGUAUAUAUAAUGUGUUGAAUCACAUUUUACUAGUGAACCCUUGACUUGCUCAGGCUCUUUAGCAGUUCAGAUGGCUGCUUUAAUGAAAUCAAUAUCAGAAUACCUCGGAAACUGCUCGAGUCUUAUUUCUGGACAAGCAGCAAUUGCCCCCACAAAAACAUUGUGUGAGUAUCCCCUAUAUAUUUUUAGAUGUUCACCUACAGUAUAUUGCUGCUAAUAUUUAGUGUUUACUCACAUUCAUUUAGUUU